GGCUCAGAGCGAACGCUGGCGGCAGGCUUAACACAUGCAAGUCGAACGGGCACUUCGGUGCUAGUGGCAGACGGGUGAGUAACACGUGGGAACGUACCUUUCGGUUCGGAAUAAUACAGGGAAACUUGUACUAAUACCGGAUACGCCCUUUUGGGGAAAGAUUUAUCGCCGAUUGAUCGGCCCGCGUCUGAUUAGCUAGUUGGUGAGGUAAUGGCUCACCAAGGCGACGAUCAGUAGCUGGUCUGAGAGGAUGAUCAGCCACACUGGGACUGAGACACGGCCCAGACUCCUACGGGAGGCAGCAGUGGGGAAUAUUGGACAAUGGGCGCAAUGAUCCAGCCAUGCCGCGUGAGUGAUGAAGGCCUUAGGGUUGUAAAGCUCUUUUGUCCGGGAAGAUAAUGACUGUACCGGAAGAAUAAGCCCCGGCUAACUUCGUGCCAGCAGCCGCGGUAAUACGAAGGGGGCUAGCGUUGCUCGGAAUCACUGGGCGUAAAGGGCGCGUAGCGGACUCUUAAGUCGGGGGUGAAAGCCCAGGGCUCAACCCUGGAAUUGCCUUCGAUACUGAGAGUCUUGAGUUCGGAAGAGGUUGGUGGAACUGCGAGUGUAGAGGUGAAAUUCGUAGAUAUUCGCAAGAACACCAGUG
rnacentral:rRNA from 1 species